GACGAACGCUGGCGGCGUGCCUAAUACAUGCCAGUAGAACGCACAGUUUAUACCGUAGCUUGCUACACCAUAAACUGUGAGUUGCGAACGGGAAAGUAACGCGUAGGUAACCUGCCUGGUAGCGGGGGAUAACUAUAGGAAACGAUAGCUAAUACCGCAUAAUAUUGAUUAUUGCAUGAUAAUUGAUUGAAAGAUGCUAUUGCAUCACUACCAGAUGGACCUGCGGUGUAUUAGCUAGUAGGGGAGGUAACGGCCCACCUAGGCGAAGAUACAUAGCCGACCUGAGAGGGUGAUCGGCCACACUGGGACUGAGACCAGGCCCAGACUCCUACGGGGAGCAGCAGUAGGGGAUCUUCGGCAAUGGACGAAAGGCUGACCGAGCAACGCCGCGUGAGUGAAGAAGGGUUUCGGAUCGGAAAGCUCUGUUGUAAGGGAAGAACGGGUGUGAGGGUGGAAAGUUCACAGUGUGACGGUAUCUUACCAGAAAGGGACGGCUAACUACGUG
rnacentral:rRNA from 1 species